CAGGAAUACUAUGACGGGCGCUGCCCUCAGGUUGAUGACGUAUCGGCGCCGCGUCCCUGACCGUUCAAUGUGUGUCACGAGUCUCGACCACCGAUCCAAGAAGGAAACUAGUUGGCAAAAGAGACUAAUUGCUUCCCUCUUAAUGGAUCGCAAUAGUAAGGUAAGUCGCUGUUAUUUUUUUUCUUCUUUUAUCACUCUACU